rnacentral:lncRNA from 1 species
CCGGUGUGCGGCAAGCGCUACCAUUUCAUCAUCGAGAACGACAGCAUCCAGAUGGCUGGCCGUCGUCGCACCUGCUGCCUGCGCUGCGGGACUCCCAUGGCCGCUGCAGAAUCAAGGUUGGAAGAACAAACAUACAUAUCAGUUCUUGGACAAAACGAACAUACCUUUCUGCAUGUAUGUCUGAAGAAAAAAUUACAUAUGACCGAACGAUUGAACUGCAUGCCCAAUUUGUUUUCCAGCUGUGCGAAGUUCUUGAAUUUGUUCAGCCCAUGGGCUGUAUGUGCGAAUUUAUUUUACAGUCUGUUCAAAGAUUCUUCUCUGUGCAAAGAUGUAUCCUUACCUUGGAUGCAAUUUCUUCUCCAGGUGCCUCUUGUGCAACUUUGACAUGGAAGGCGAGGAGCUGGAAGAGUGCGGGUACCUGCAUCUUGACGAUUCCUCUCACUUGCUGCACGCAGU